rnacentral:rRNA from 1 species
UGGCGAACGGGUGAGUAAUGUAUGGGAAUCUGCCCAAAGGUGAGGGAUAGCUAAGGGAAACUUUAGGUAAUACCUCAUGUGCUUUGAAAGAAGGAAAGGUGAGUUGAAAGACUUCUCGCCUUUGGAUGAGCCCAUAUCGGAUUAGGUAGUUGGUGAGGUAACGGCCCACCAAGCCUGUGAUCCGUAGCUGGUCUGAGAGGAUGAUCAGCCACACUGGGACUGAGAUACGGCCCAGACUCCUACGGGAGGCAGCAGUGGGGAAUAUUGGACAAUGGGGGAAACCCUGAUCCAGCGACGCCGCGUGAAUGAUGAAGGCCUUCGGGUCGUAAAGUUCUUUCACCUGUGGAUAACGGGAAAAGAAGCACCGGCUAACUCUGUGCCAGCAGCCGCGGUAAUACAGAGGGUGCUAGCGUUGUUCGGAUUGAUUGGGCGUAAAGGGUGCGUAGGCGGUUUGUUAAGUGGAUUGUUAAAGGCUUGGGCUCAACCCGGGUUCGCAUUUCAUAC